rnacentral:rRNA from 1 species
CAUGCAAGUGGCUAAUAUAUUAACCAGAAUGUUUAAAUUAGUGUUAUAAUAUAUAAUGUAUAUACUAAUGCAACUGCGAAUAGCUGUUUAAUACAGUCGUAAUUGUAUUGACUUAGUAUAAUGUUAAUAAUAGUUAUUUAUAGGAUAACUAAGGGAAAGUUUGGCUAAUACGUUUUAACAGUAUUAUAAUUCUUAAUACACAUAUAAUAAUAUUAUAAUAUGAUAAAUAUUAUAUAAAUAUUUUAAUACAUUUAUUUGUAUUAAUAUAUAGAGUUGACUUUAUAAUAUUUAUUUAUUAUAAAGCAUGUCAAACAAGCAUCUAUAGCAUCAAGUCACAAUGUUGGCAUGUGUAUUAUUGAACCUUCAAAGCAUUUACGCAUUCGGAGGAGUAGUUUCUGAUCCCGUCGAAGGUGCCUGAGAGACGGCACUUAGUUCUAAGGAACGCAGCAGGCGCGUAAAUUGCCCAAUGACAAAACAUGUUAUAAUAAAAUAUAUAAUGUAUAUAUAUUGAAUACUCAAUAUUUAAUUGAGGCAGUGACAAGCUGUAAAGAUUGAAUAUAUUAAUUAAGAUAACAUUUGGAAUUGUCGUUUUAUAAUAUUUUUUAAUAUUAUAUUACUUGAUAAUAUACCAAUGUUAUAAAAUAUUCAAUUUGAAUGCGGUGAAUGUAAUAAUUUCAAGUAACAUGUAUAAAAUAUUUAUAUUUUAUUAGUUAUCUGAAUUUUCAAGUGGAGGGCAAGUCUGGUGCCAGCAGCCGCGGUAAUACCAGCUCCACUAGCUUAUACAAUCAUUGUUGCGGUUAAGAGGCUCGUAGUUGGAUUGAAUAAAACAUAUAUACACAAUACUGUGAACAAACCAGAGUGUAUAAAACAUGUAAUAUAUUAUAUAUUUAGCAAUGAAUGUUUUAUCAUGGAAUAUUGCUAUAAUGAAUAUUAAUAUCGAUGGAGAUAGUUGGAGUUAAGAGUACUGAUAGGCGAGCGGUGAAAUGCAUUGACCCUAUUAAGACUAACAAAAGCGAAAGCACUUAACUAGAUUAUUCUCUUUGUAUUAUUUUACAAUGAAGAGCGAAGGUUGGGGGAACAAAGAGGAUCAGAUACCCUCGUAGUCCUAUUUUUACAUCAAACUAUGGGAUUUCAUUCACACUAAACACUAAACAUUAUAAUUAUAAUUAUGAUUGAGUAUAUGUCAAAAUAUUACUCUCAUAUUAAAUAAUUAUUAUAUAUAUGAUUAUAUGUACUUUGAGCUCAUAUAAUUAUAUAGGUGAGAUGUAAGCAUUAUAAAGUGAAUAAUAUACAAGUAAUAUUGUAUUAUUAUGAUCUUUAAAAUAAAAAAUGUAAUGUGAUGCACGUUUUAGGUACGAGCUUACUAUAGAAAUAUUUAAAAUAAUACCCUCCUGGGGUAGUAUGCACGCAAGUGUGAAACUUGAAGGAAUUGACGGAAGGGCACCACAAGAACGCGUGGAGCAUGUGGCUUAAUUUGACUCAACCCGGGAAAUCUUACCAGGUCCAGACAUAUUGAGGAUUGACAGGCGAUAGUAUAUAAUUCAUUUAUAUGCAUAAAAAUGAUAGUCCUUUCAUGAUUAUAUGAUAGGUGGUGCAUGGCCGUUCUUAGUUCGUGGAGUGAUUUGUCUGCUUAAUUGCGUUUCAGUAAAUAAAAUAUAUAAUAUAUUAUAAUAUUUAGUUCUGCCUUGAAUAUUAUUCAAGGAUUUAAAGUGAACAUAUUAUAUAUAUUAUUAUAUAAUAAAUGAAUGCA